GUCAGCUCCCUGAAGGAUGUUCUAAAAUACUUCAUUGAAAAAACUGAGUAUCGGCUUUGUCCUUUCAUUCCAUCUCAGCCCUACGACACUUUGAUCGAGGCGUCACCAGCUCCCAAGUGCCUCGACACAACCCCACGUGCACCUAAACCACUACCAAAGGCACACGUGCCCCCUAUGCUGCGGUCACGGACCAAAGAGGAGAUUCUGCCAAACAAGCCUGAUGAGGGAGAAUAUGUCAUUCCUGAUGAUCCCAAUGACUCCAGCCUGAAUCUAGCUCAGUUGGAUGAUGAGCUCAGGAGAGCCCUAAAACAACGGAGAGAAAACAUCUAUGUUUCGACUGAUGAGAAAGUCUCCCCCUAUGAAACAAAACUGAAUGGAAAAACAACAAUCUAACACGGCACGGUGGACGACCGAGAAACCGACAGCGUGAAGUAGGGACUGGUGUAACCUGACAAGUAUAACGUUAAACUUUUACCUACAGCUCAGAGAUCACAAUGUUCACGGUGAAAAUGGCUAAAUUCUGCUUUAUUGAAACGAAAUUUAUACAUUUUUCUCCAAGAUGGGAGAGUUUGGACCGUUGCUUAAAUAUUGUGACCAAAUGAGCGGACGGUGCUAGAUGAUCAAAGGAAUUUCUGUGUUUAUUUCAGUGACCACUAAUGUCUGCAUCCGUCAUUGCAAUCCAGCUGAGGGGUGUCAAUAAAAAAGCUGAACAUUUCAUCCCGUAGUCAGUCCCAAAAACUUUGUAAAAGAUUAAAUGUUUGUUCAAAUCUUUGUACCUGUGGAUGGAUCCGUAUUGGAACUUUUACACUGAGGGUUCACCAAAGUAAUCAACCCCCUCGGGAAC